UCCAACCGGGGAUGGACCUGCGCAUUGCCCUUGUUGACCUAUGCGACUCCAGCCAAGCAAAGCUAUCGCUGAUUUUGUUUUUCAGUUUCGUCAGGUUAGCGCUAAGGUAUGAUACAUGUUGCCCAAACAACCACUCUGUAUCAAAUUUCCAGCGUAGCUCACUCGUCAUCCGAGCCUGCAUUUAUCCAGAAGGUCGGUGGUCGAAUCCCAGCUUGUUACAUUUUGUCUUCCUAGCCAUUAAUUUUUUUAUGUGCAUGACAUUUGGGUCCCAGCGCACCCUUUUGACGACCCCCCUUCUGUCCCCACUGUUAUACGAACUC
rnacentral:lncRNA from 1 species